AGUGAACGCUGGCGGUAGGCCUAACACAUGCAAGUCGAACGGCAGCACAGUAAGAGCUUGCUCUUACGGGUGGCGAGUGGCGGACGGGUGAGGAAUACAUCGGAAUCUACUUUUUCGUGGGGGAUAACGUAGGGAAACUUACGCUAAUACCGCAUACGACCUACGGGUGAAAGCAGGGGAUCUUCGGACCUUGCGCGAUUGAAUGAGCCGAUGUCGGAUUAGCUAGUUGGCGGGGUAAAGGCCCACCAAGGCGACGUUCCGUAGCUGGUCUGAGAGGAUGAGCGGCCACAUUGGACUGAGACACGGUCCAGACUCCUACGGGAGGCAGCAGUGGGGAAUAUUGGACAAUGGGCGCAAGCCUGAUCCAGCCAUACCGCGUGGGUGAAGAAGGCCUUCGGGUUGUAAAGCCCUUUUGUUGGGAAAGAAAAGCAGCAGGUUAAUACCCCGCUGUUCUGACGGUACCCAAAGAAUAAGCACCGGCUAACUUCGUG
rnacentral:rRNA from 1 species